rnacentral:lncRNA from 1 species
UGUAAAGGCAUUUUGGAGACACAGGCUGGGAAGAGUCUGGACAAGGCAAGGAGAGACUUGAGCCCAGGAGUGGAUCAAGAGGAAGAUGUGGAUGGUGCUUCUGCAAGGCACGGGCCUAUGUUAUUCACUAGAAGGUGAGCUCAAUUCUAGAAGAUGUUUCUUCAGUGUGCCCAGCUCCUGGAAAAGUGGACUCAAGAGAGGUUCUGGUGACAAAAAACCUCCACAAGAAACUACAGUUUCAAUCCACAGUGGGUUGCGCCUGCAAAGAAAUUUUUACAACACCAACCAUUCCUAAGGACCAUCUAUUCCUUCCUUAAUUAAAAGUAUAUAGUUAAAAAUACUUAGAGAAA